rnacentral:lncRNA from 1 species
UGAGUGCAGAACUAGAUUAUCAUGAUUAUAAACACACACAAAACAAUUAAUGACUCUUUUAAGAUUAAAUAUAUAAACUUGAGAUACUAUACGUAAAUGUGUUAUUAGGUCAAUAGUCUACAGCAAGGUACUGUAACGUGUCAAAUCAUAAAAUAAUUACAUCUAUAGAAUACCACAGCAUCUGCUACUGGUAUUACAUCUAUGCUGUAACUGAUGAAGGUAGGCUUGAUUAAUAUAAUGUACAAUGUAUGUGUUAUUUCUGCACUAUAAACAAGUUAAUAUUGUAAAACAUACAGCUGAUUUUUAUAGUUUGUUGUACUGGUUACACCACUGUCCAAGGUUAGAGGAGGGUUGGUGCCCACUAACUUGUUUAACCCCCGCCCCAUUAUGUAUGUAUGUGCCUGCAUGUAUGUCCAAAGUCCGGUAGUUCAGUUGUGGUCGUUUAUUGCUGGCGUGCGUAAUUGUUUUUCGUUCAUUAUUUUGUACAUUCAUUAUGCCGUACUUUGUAGGUGCAGCCAGUGUAAGGAAACAUAUGCGUUGAUAUGAAUUAUUAAAGAGUCAGAGUCAAUCACUCUCACCAGAGAUUUUUUUUAAAAAAAGCAAUCCUCCUGUCCUUUUUUGUAAAACAGUCAAUUACUAUAUCAAUGCCAUUGGGUGUCUCCUUGUAUGCGUGAAGGAUACAUAGCCCCGAAAGUCACUCUGUUGUAAUUGUAUAACAAAGAUGUUAUAAUCCGGCGCAUGACACUGAAACUGCGUGUUACUGUUUGGAUACAGGUCAAAAUUGAUCAAUUGCAAGCUUUUUGUAAGAGUACCAGGGAUUUUUCCUUUGCUAUAGCCCAUCGUGCUUUCUACAUUUCUAUCUCGAUGUAAAAAGAAUCAUGGUAAAAUGGAAGGUCAACCGCAAAUGUGUUAAAAAGACGGUUCACAACUGGUAAAGAACUCUCUAAUAUUGACGGAAUCAAUUAUUUAAC